UCCCUGGGGGUUUAGGGGCUAAGACAUCACACUCCCAAUGCCAGGGGCCCAGGUUUGAUUCUUGGUCAGGGAA
rnacentral:tRNA from 1 species